rnacentral:rRNA from 1 species
UACAGAGGAGGCGAGCGUUAUCCGGAGUUAUUGGGCGUAAAGGGUACGUAGGCGGUUGGUCAAGUCUGGGGUUAAAGACCACAGCUUAACUGUGGGGGGGCGUUGGAAACUGACCGGCUGGAGUUGUGCAGGGGUUGCGGGAAUUCCCGGUGUAGCGGUGAAAUGCGUAGAUAUCGGGAAGAGCACCUGAGGCGAAAGCACGCAACUGGACCCUAACUGACGCUGAGGUACGAAAGCUAGGGGAGCGAAAGGG